rnacentral:lncRNA from 1 species
UCUCUCAAGGUUCUGAGAGUAGAGAAAACAGAGACGAUGAAGGUAGAAGCUAAACUCACAGAGGAAGAAGAGUGCUGGAAGCAGGGGUAGAGACUUUUCAUAUAUUCCUGAGAUAAGACAUGCAGCAAGAUCUUGAACAACAGGGCAAUUUGGGCUUCAAAGAAGUGACAGCAGCACUUCCCUACAUUCCCUUCUAUGAAAAGUUAGGGCCAGGUUUGUUUUGGAACACAGAAUUUAGAAUUUUCUUAUAAUGAUUUUUAUUUUUUCCAUUAUAGGUGAUUUACAGUGUUCUAUCAAUUUUCUACUGCACAGCGAGGUGACACAGUUACACAUACAUGUAUACAUUCCUUUUUCUCACAUGCUCCAUCAUAAGUGGCAGAGACAUAGUUCCCAGUGCUACACAGCAGAGUCUCAUUACUUAUCCAUUCCAAAGGCUAUAGUUUGCAUCUAGUAACCCCAAAUUCCCACUCCCUCCUACGCCCUCCUCCUCCCUCUUGGCAACCACAAAUUUGUUCUCCAUGUGCAAGAACAGAACAGCAAUAGCCAUAGACUAGAGCAUCAACUUCUGCCUCCGGACCACCAGCACACACCAGGCAGUAGACUCACUGUCAUAUGUUAUAAAGAAUAAGGCGUUCAGGAGUUCCCAUUGUGGCUCAGUGGGUUAAGAAUCCAACUAGUACCCAUGAGGAUGCCCGUUCGAUCCCUGGCCUCACUCAGUGGGUUAAGGAUCCAUGGUUGCUGUGGUGUAGGCCGGCAGCUGUAGCGCCGAUUCAGCCCCUGGCCUGGGAACUUACAUACUUCCAUGUGCCAUGCGUGCGGCCCUAAAAAGAAAAAUAGAAUAAUAUAGUCUCCUUCCAGCCACCCUGUACAGAGUUGGAGCAUCUUUUCGCAGUGUAUUUUUACUGAGACCCUGCAAAACUAGAAUGUACUCUUGGCUGUGGGAGGGAGUCCCACAGAGUGAACAAAGAAUGCCCCAUGGAGGUGGAGGGUCAGUACAGCCAUGGGGUGUGCACAAAAAAUGCUGGAACUUCCAUUCAGACUGAUCUAAUGUGUCCUUUUAAUGUCUAUUUUCGUGAAUGUUUAAUAAUACAUGUACUUUCAGUGCCACAGCACAUGUAAAUAAUUUAUAAGUAAAUAUUGAGUGUGCCUACUCAAAAAGUAUCUGCUAAUAGGAUGUAGGAUCAAAACAGCAAGGAGAGAACAUUUCUAGAGCUCUUGAACAAUUAAAUCCUUUAAUCUGCUGAAAAAAAUAACGUUCCCCCAACAAAAAAGAAACCCCAGCCAAACAAACAAAAAAAAACACCCUGCAACACUAAGAAAAGAAUCUGUUUUUCCCCUUUAGGCAAUGACUAUUUUCAGAACUGUGUCUCUUCUUUCAGAAAAGAGGUUAUCAGGUAACAGCAUAAUUCAAGCCAGACAAACUUAAAUAGGCAACAUGAUUGUUUUUUUAAAAAGAAUCCAAGUGGGAUUUAAACUGGGUUUUCAGUAAACACUGCUGCCGCCUCUCAAAAAAGGUGUUUCUCUUGGGGAAUUCAUUAAGCAUUAAUUUCAACAAAUGAUCUCAUUUAUCUCAAGUUUACUCUAACAUUUACAAACUACAUUAUAUGCUCCCUGUUGCUUCCUCAGGCCCAUUCAUGUAAUUUGCAUCUUCAAAAGUAGACACAGAUGCUUUUUUCUGGACCCAGGGGAUGAGGCAGAGGUAGGAAAAAAAAUUUGCAUCUCCUCUGAGAAAGGAAUCAUUUAUAAUCAGAGCAGAAAGUCAAACUUGCAACAUUAAAAUAAAUCCAUUUGCCAUAACAGCGGGUUAGAGAAAUGUGGUUCACUGAAGCCUUGAUUUAGCUGUGGCAUCAGGAAUAACACACAGGGAUUAAAAACCCUCAUGAGACAGGCGCACAAUGAAAGGUCAAUAUGUAAAAGUGACCUGCAUAAAUAUUCUUUAAAUGGUGACGUUUCCAAAACAAGACAAGUUUUCUUUGUAGUGCUUUCAGGUCACUGCAGUGAAUAUGCAGCACUGUGCACAGGUGCAAAAUGUCUGGGAGAUAAGGAUGAAUUCAGUCUGUCCAUCAUAUACUCAAAGUUCUUUUAAAUGGACUCCCAGGAACAGCCGUCCAAGCCUGACCUGAUCUCUUAUAGAUUCAUCAAUUCAGUGGCCAAAUCAGACAAGGCUCUGCUCCCUUAAAGUGGAGAUAUAUAUGCGUGGACGGGGAGAUGGACCCAACUCACAGAAGAGGUAACAUAAGAGCAGACACCUAAGUGAUAAGAAGGAGAAGAUACACUGGCUAUUUGGGGGGAGAGGAUUCCAGACAGAACGGAAAGUCCAUGCAAAGCUCAAAUCUAGAAGUGUGCUCCCUGUUUCCUAGGAAGGACAAAGAGGUCAAUACUGCCAGACCUGCAAACCCAGUGGGCAGUAGGAAGAGAUGCCAUUAGAGAAGGGGCUGGGCCGGACAAAGGCUUUAGAUUUCAAGGGAGCCUGAAAGUUAACGCACUGGGGAGGCGUAGGGGAGGCGAAGGUUGGUCAGAGGAUGGAUCUUACUUAUGUAUUUUAAGGACCACAUUGGGUGCUAUGGAGAAUGUCUCAUACAAGAGUCGGGGGAAUGAAGCUAGCUUAAAAAAUCAGAGGUUCACUAUGAGCUUUUUCGUGUUUAGCUUUUUGGUUAUUCAGACUUCAGUAAAGUGGAUCCACAGCACUGCAGGAAAUGCCCAAUCCUAUUUCACUUCUUGCAUUAUCCAUUGCCUAUUUCAUCCAUGCAGGAAAUGAGAACAUGAGAAAAUGACACUUCCUCCCAAAAAGGUCCACGCAAGAAACAAGAACCUGAGAAAGUUACACUUCCUCUCAAAAAGGGCCUUGACUUCACUGAGAAUCAGACUCAGAAAAGACACCAAUUUCUGAGACAGCUGCCUUCCUAAUAUUCACUAGUGAAUUAUAAUAGCCUCUCAUCUAAGCAAUGCCAUGCAAAUUCUUGCAAGUAUUUACUGGGACUUUCAUUUCUGUCUGAAAGAAGCCCCAUUAUUUGUAGGGGAAGAGCUUAAGGGCAAAGUGAAGCAUAUCACCAACAAAAGAUGUUAUGUAUUCAAUAGACAUGGAGGUGGGGAGGUACUGGAUUUGUAUAUUUUAUUCUGACCUUAUGUCAAAAAUUGUUUUGGACACUAGAAUGUGGCUGUGAGAGAAAGACAAAACUCUUCAUGGAAACAAUUAUGAAAAGAAAAAUCAUCCCUGAUAAAAAUUUGACUCUGACAUACUUUUUUUGAGGGCUGCACCUGCAGCAUAGGGAAGUUCCCAGGUUAGGGGUCAAAUUGGAGCUGCAGCUGCCGGCCCACACCACAGCCACAGCCAUGCCAGACCCUGAGCCACGUCUGUGACACCACCGCUCACAGCAGUGCUGGAUCCUUAACCCACUGAACAAGGCCAGGGAUGGAACUCGCAUCCUCAUGGAUGCUAGUCAGGUUCGUUACUGCUACAUCACCACAGGAUCUCUCCUCAGUUCUUUCUUACACCGUUCAGCAUAAGCCCAGGGACCUCCUCUAGUCCCUGCUAACAAAACACCCCAGAAUUCCCCAUGGGGUACACUCUCCCUUCCCCAUGGGGUUUUAUCUAAAUGGGAUUUCUCACUAUUCAGGGAAACAGGAACAAACAAGUACUUAUCUAAAUAUUAUGAUAUCAGAUGGUGAUAGGUGCUAUGACAAAAACAAAACUGCUAAAAAAAAAAAAAAUUAAUGGUGAACUUUCUAGCUGUCAGUAUCUAAAUGGUUGCUAACACCAAAGAUCUCAGUCCUACAACAGAAAAUCUCUCUACUUACCACAGUGACAAAUCUAAACAGAUUUUCUAAUCUUGAUUCCCUCUUAAGUCUCCAAAGUACCAGGCUGACCAAACUUGAAACUUAGCAGUCCUCUGUAAAGAUAUACUAGACAUCAUUUCAGUCAAUCGUCCUGACUAGACUGAUCAUCUCAGCAGUAAAUUCAGUGUGUAGCUGAAAGAUCAAAAUGUUAGGGACUAUUUUUUCAAGUAUUAGUCAAUGCUAUCUACUCAAAGUUGUCUUUAGAAAAAGGAGGAAGACCAUGUCUGAUCUCCCAAUGGGCAAUGUCAGAAAAGUUGUGUUUCCAUCAAUCCCAGCUUUGCCAAGCCUGGCACCACAUUAUUGACCUUUCCCAAGUGCAAUACAUCUUUUAUAAAAAUGUCAGAUUAAACCUACCUGAAAACUUCAAGCCUUAGAGAAAAAAUGCAGUGACAAUGUUGAAAUUAUAAACAAUGCGACAGAGUUUGAAAAUUCUCUCUGGUGAAGUCAUUAGUUUCUAAAUAAAGAGGCAUCAAUCAUCUAAGGUUGUGCUCAAUGAUAAAUUAAUGUUUACUCUCAUAAGGACAGGAAUGACAGUUUAAAUUCAUCCAUUCAUUCAACAAAUAUGCCUACAACUUAGUAUUUAUCUGAAUUUAAAAUCUGCCUUUGCUGAACAUUUGUAGAGUGGAGUUUUGCUGAUCUUAAUUUCAUCUACACAUGAAAAUAACUGCCUCAAGGAAACACACUGGACACAUUUGUUAAAUUUCCAAAUCAAAUGGGUAACUCAUUCAAGGAAGAUAAACUGUGACCCUUUAUUUUGAUAACUAUGGGCAAGCACUAAAAUGAAUACUUCUCCUCUAAGAGUUUUCUGAAUCCUCACAACCAUAACAGAGGUGGGCAAAAUUACUCUGAAUAAACGUAAGAUGAAAUCAAGGAUUAGAAAUAUUAAGUAGGUUGUCAGAUAGCGAGAGGCAUCGCCAAGAUUUGAACCAGCUUCUCUUACCACAAAAUCUAUACUUACACCUUAAGCUACAUUGCCAUCCCUAACUAGGGAUCACCAAAUCUGUGUAAAUCAGUCAAAAUUAUAAAAUAAGAAUUUAAUAAACCCAAAGAGACACGGUGGAUGACAUUAUAAUUACCGGUGCAUUAGAGUGAGAAACAGUACAGAAAAUUACAAAUGCUAAUUAAAAAGUGAUGGGAUUUAAAUAUCCUAUGAGAUCAGCAGCAAUAAUAAACAGAAGCAAUUAGAAAGUAACUACAAGAACAUCCAAAUGCAAUGAAGAAAGCAUGUGCUGCCACCAAUCCACCAUCAAGGUAUUUAAAGCUUUCUAUCAUGUCACCCACUGCUGCCCCAUCUUUACAGUGCAUGCAUGCAGCCUUGAUUUACAGUUUGAAAUUUGAGUCGUUGAAGGUGAAAGUAAACAGUGUGCUUCAGAGCGUAAAAAGCCAUGUUCAAAGCAGAUGUUAGUUUCAAUACACCAAUGAGCUAUAACAACAGCAGCUUUUAAGCUAAUGAGAAAAACUUCUUUUCAUCUUUGCAUUUUGAUGGUUACAACUGUAUGAAUCCUGCAACAGAAUUAGAUCUGUGACAUGAAAAGACAAGGAACCAUCAUGCUGUGCAUGAUUUUUAUGAGUUAAAAAAAAAAAACAAAACUGGGAGUUACGUGGUGGCGCAGUGGUUAAUGAAUCCGACUAGGAACUAUGAGGUUGCGGGUUCGGUCCCUGCCCUUGCUCAGUGGGUUAACGAUCCGGCAUUGCCAUGAUCUGUGGUGUGGGUUGCAGAUGCGGCUUGGAUCCCGCGUUGCUGUGGCUCUGGCGUAGUAGGCCGGUGGCUAUGGCUCCGAUUCGACCCCUAGCCUGGGAACCUCCAUAUGCCGCAGGGGAGGCCCAAGAAAUAGCAAAAAGACCAAAAAAAAAAAAAAAAAAAAAAAAAAA